rnacentral:rRNA from 1 species
AGAACGAACGCUGGCGGCAGGCCUAAUACAUGCAAGUCGAACGCCGUAGCAAUACGGAGUGGCAGACGGGUGAGUAACACGUGGGAACCUUCCCAAUGGUACGGAAUAGCCCGGGGAAACCCGGAGUAAUACCGUAUACGCCCGAAAGGGGAAAGAUUUAUCGCCAUUGGAUGGGCCCGCGUCGGAUUAGCUAGUUGGUGAGGUAACGGCUCACCAAGGCGACGAUCCGUAGCUGGUCUGAGAGGAUGAUCAGCCACACUGGGACUGAGACACGGCCCAGACUCCUACGGGAGCAGCAGUAGGGAAUAUUGGACAAUGGGCGAAAGCCUGAUCCAGCCAUGCCGCGUGAGUGACGAAGGCCUUCGGGUUGUAAGCUCUUUGGCGGGACGAUAAUGACGGUACCCGCAGAAUAACGCCCCGCUAACUUCGUGCCAGCAGCCGC